rnacentral:rRNA from 1 species
GACGAACGCUGGCGGCGUGCUUAACACAUGCAAGUCGAACGGAAAGGCCCUGCUUUUGUGGGGUGCUCGAGUGGCGAACGGGUGAGUAACACGUGAGUAUCCUGCCCUUGCCUUUGGGAUAACUUCAGGAAAUUGGGGCUAAUACCGGAUAGGAGCUCCUGCUGCAUGGUGGGGGUUGGAAAGUUUCGGCGGUUGGGGAUGGACUCGCGGCUUAUCAGCUUGUUGGUGGGGUAGUGGCUUACCAAGGCUUUGACGGGUAGCCGGCCUGAGAGGGUGACCGGCCACAUUGGGACUGAGAUACGGCCCAGACUCCUACGGGAGGCAGCAGUGGGGAAUAUUGCACAAUGGGCGGAAGCCUGAUGCAGCAACGCCGCGUGCGGGAUGACGGCCUUCGGGUUGUAAACCGCUUUCGCCUGUGACGAAGCGUGAGUGACGGUAAUGGGUAAAGAAGCACCGGCUAACUACGUG